AUACGUAGGGCGCAAGCGUUGUCCGGAAUUAUUGGGCGUAAAGAGCUCGUAGGCGGUUUGUCGCGUCUGCUGUGAAAUCCCCAGGCUCAACUUGGGGCGUGCAGUGGGUACGGGCAGACUAGAGUGCGGUAGGGGAGACUGGAAUUCCUGGUGUAGCGGUGGAAUGCGCAGAUAUCAGGAGGAACACCGAUGGCGAAGGCAGGUCUCUGGGCCGUUACUGACGCUGAGGAGCGAAAGCAUGGGGAGCGAACAGGAUUAGAUACCCUGGUAGUCCAUGCCGUAAACGUUGGGCACUAGGUGUGGGGUCUGUUUCCACGGAUUCCGCGCCGUAGCUAACGCAUUAAGUGCCCCGCCUGGGGAGUACGGCCGCAAGGCUAAA
rnacentral:rRNA from 1 species